GGUCUUUCGACAAAGGCGAAGAAGCAGGGGAGGAAUUGAGUGAAUCGCCUUGGACUUCUUCACAGCUUACGCAUAAAAAUCAAAAUCAAAUAAAAAGAAAAUAAAAUUAACACGAACAAUGUCGCAACCAUGUUCUCUCUCCCUCAAAGGUCUACAUGAGACAUCAAAAUGCAGACGAAGAGAACAUAAAUUACAAUCCAAAAUAUUUUAUUAUACCGAAGUCCCAACUUUGCGGUCUCCCAUUUUAUUACCUUCAGAAUCUGUUAAGAUUCUCCUCCCAUUGCUUCCCUGCCCGGAAAACUUGUUUUGUUGUCUCUAACUUGGCUUAGGGCAGCUCUUCCUCAUUUAGGUUUGAAGGAAAGGGAGAUAGCAAAUGGAAGAUGUGAUGGGUGUGUCAGUAGCUUGGCAAGAGGGCAAGACUUGCAAAGUAGUCCGUGGGCUUGUCAUAUCAUUGGCUCACCCCAAGGUUUUAAGAGAUUGAAACGCUGACAUGCCCAUCUUUUUGUCCGGUGGAACCGUUUUUGUUUGGCUUUGAAGUCCAACAGCCGGCUUGGUGUUUAGGAAGCAUGCAGGCACUCUCGUUACUUUGAAUUCUGUUUUCUUCUCUUUCCUACUUUCCGCAUCAGUUCUAGGGCAAGGUUUUAAGAGAUUGAAACGCUGACAUGCCCAUCUUUUUGUCCGGUGGAACCGUUUUUGUUUGGCUUUGAAGUCCAACAGCCGGCUUGGUGUUUAGGAAGCAU
rnacentral:misc_RNA from 1 species